rnacentral:rRNA from 1 species
UACGUAGGUCCCGAGCGUUGUCCGGAUUUAUUGGGCGUAAAGCGAGCGCAGGUGGUUUAUUAAGUCUGGUGUAAAAGGCAGUGGCUCAACCCUUGUAUGCAUUGGAAACUGGUAGACUUGAGUGCAGGAGAGGAGAGUGGAAUUCCAUGUGUAGCGGUGAAAUGCGUAGAUAUAUGGAGGAACACCGGUGGCGAAAGCGGCUCUCUGGCCCGUAACUGACACUGAGGCUCGAAAGCGUGGGGAGCAAACAGG